AGCGAACGCUGGCGGCAGGCUUAUCACAUGCAAGUCGAACGCAUCCUUCGGGGUGAGUGGCAGACGGGUGAGUAACGCGUGGGAACGUGCCCUUCAGUUCGGGAUAACCCAGGGAAACUUGGGCUAAUACCGGAUACGUGCGAGAGCAGAAAGAUUUAUCGCUGAAGGAUCGGCCCGCGUCUGAUUAGCUAGUUGGUGGGGUAAUGGCCCACCAAGGCGACGAUCAGUAGCUGGUCUGAGAGGAUGAUCAGCCACAUUGGGACUGAGACACGGCACAAACUCCUACGGGAGGCAGCAGUGGGGAAUAUUGGACAAUGGGCGCAAGCCUGAUCCAGCCAUGCCGCGUGAGUGAUGAAGGCCUUAGGGUUGUAAAGCUCUUUCGUCCGGGACGAUAAUGACGGUACCGGAAGAAGAAGCCCCGGCUAACUUCGUGCCAGCAGCCGCCGCCG
rnacentral:rRNA from 1 species